AACGCGAAGAACCUUACCAGUCCUUGACAUGUCUCGUAUGGGUCUGAGAGAUCAGAUCCUUCGGUUCGGCCGGCGAGAACACAGGUGCUGCAUGGCUGUCGUCAGCUCGUGUCGUGAGAUGUUGGGUUAAGUCCCGCAACGAGCGCAACCCUUAUUACCAGUUGCCAUCAUUUAGUUGGGCACUCUGGUGAGACCGCCUCGGAUAACGGGGAGGAAGGUGGGGAUGACGUCAAGUCCUCAUGGCCUUUAUGUCCAGGGCUACACACGUGCUACAAUGGCCGGUACAAACCGUCGCAAACCCGUGAGGGGGAGCUAAUCGGAGAAAGCCGGCCUCAGUUCGGAUUGGAGUCUGCAACUCGACUCCAUGAAGCUGGAAUCGCUAGUAAUCGCAGAUCAGAACGCUGCGGUGAAUACGUUCCCGGGCCUUGUACACACCGCAUAC
rnacentral:rRNA from 1 species